UCUUCCAGCAACUGGAGUGCAGUUUUUCCCUUAUGUUUUAUGAAAACACUUUAUCUUCAAAGGAAAAACCUAACAACCCUUGAAUUUACUAGAAAACUGCAGACGAAUCAUCAUGUUUGUUAAGUGAGUGAAGAUGGUGCAGAAACCUCCUGGUCCAUCUUACAAGCAAGGAAACAGACUCAUGGGGACAUCUUGCAGCUUGCUCUCGAUCCCCAAGCCCGCUAAGCUGAGCGAGCUCCCUGGCCUCCCUCCCAGGAUGUCGCUGUAUUGUGCUGCUUCAGCUGCUGCUGUCUUCUGCUUUUCAUACCUUGUGCAAGACCCUCCCGCUUCCUCUGCUCCAACCACUCUGGGUCUGCUCGUCCUGCCUGGCUAUGGCAGAGAUAGGAGAAAGAAGUACCUCCUGGAUGUGACUGUGUUCUGGGAGGCUAAGAGGCUCCCUCUGGCUUUUCCCUAUCCCAUGGAAUGUUACACCUGUAAUCCCAGCACUUUGGGAGGCCAAGGCGGAUGAUCACUUGAGCUCAGGAGUUUGAGACCAGCCUGGCCAACAUGGUGAAACCCCAUCUCUACUAAAAAUAGAAAAAUUAGCUGGGUAUGUUGGCGCAUGCCUGUAAUCUCAGCUACUCAGGAGGCUGAGGCAGGAGAAUCACUUGAACCCGCAAGAUGAAGGUUGCAGUGAGCCGAGGUCAUAUCAUGACACUCCAGCCCGGGCGACAGAGCUGUCUCAAAAAAAAUUGCGUCUGAUCCACCAUGCUCUGUGCUUACCUCUUCUGCAGUGCUGUCUUAGUGACACAAGGAAUGAUGCAUAGACUUCCCUUCCUGGGGCCUCUCUAUGCGUCUUGCCUGCUCUGCAUUCCCCUGCUCAGACAUCAGACUGAUAAACAUUUGGGGAAUGGAAGAGGGAAGAAUUCUAGAACCCACCAAGGAGGCACGCGUGGACACGCUUUUCCCUGAGACUUACUGGCCUCAGGAGUUCGUGAAGAAUGGGUAUUAAAUCUUUAGAUGUUCAGUGGAAUUCAUUCAUGAAGACAUCUGAGACUGCACUUUUCUUUCCCUGGCACCAGAGAGAUGAGAGGAGAAACCUGACAAUAUCCCCAGCCUGAGCCAUCACCAGACUCCAUCCUCCUGAGUGCCCCUGAACCAGCAUCACCGCUGAACACUCUGGAAGACCUACAGAAACUGAGAGAAGGUUCUGCAAAGAGCUGUAAGGAUGCACUGAAUAUUUGCCGUUGCGGAUGAGGCUGCUGGAGCAUUGGAGAUCCAUUCAUCAUGCCAAAGUGUAGCUCAGGGAGUCACCUCCAUGGAAAAUGUGUGCUUUCCAAACGUGGCUACCAGGUCGUUGUGGAAUUCCAUCCAGAAGCACCUUGUUCUUCCAUCGCCAUCAUUCUGGACAAGGCAGAAUCCACAUUCCCCAUAUUACUAACUUUAAAGCAGAAAUGUUACGCCUUUGCCUGUAAUUGAAAUUGUAGUCAUUUGAAAAUCAAAUAUUGCUAAAAUUUGAUGUUAGAGGGAUAGAUGAUCAAUAAUUGGGUUGAAAGAAUACUGUCUCUCAUUAAGCAAAAUGAAAAUGUUUUCAGAGAUUUGUGAAAUGUUUUGCUAUGAAGACUUUUCACUGCAAAGCACCCACUUUGUUUAAAGCAAUAAGGCAACGUGCUGGAUGAACGUAAAGAAGUUUUCAACACAGAACUUCACAAUAAAAAUGGUAAGAAAUGCACACAAACCAUGGAAAUCAAGUGCUGUAAGAGUGUGUUUUAUAAAAGUGGCUGAAGGAAAUGCUUUGGACAUUUCUAUUAAUUAUAGCCAAUGUUCAUGGAUCUGUAUGCUGAGUACACACCUAGGCAUUUGCAUUUCAUUAUUUCUUUGAACUCUUUCAAAAGCCCUGAGGUCUUUAUGAUUAUCUCCAUUUCACAAAUGAUGAUACAGAGGAACAGGGAAAGCAAGUGAU
rnacentral:lncRNA from 1 species